ACGAACGCUGGCGGCGUGCCUAAUACCUGCAAGUCGAGCGGACUGAUUAAGAGCUUGCUCUUAUGACGUUAGCGGCGGACGGGUGAGUAACACGUGGGCAACCUGCCCUGUAGAUCGGGAUAACACCGAGAAAUCGGUGCUAAUACCGGGUAAUAUCUGAGAUCACAUGAUCUUAGGUUAAAAGAUGGCUCCGGCUAUCACUACAGGAUGGGCCCGCGGCGCAUUAGCUAGUUGGUAAGGUAAUGGCUUACCAAGGCGACGAUGCGUAGCCGACCUGAGAGGGUGAUCGGCCACACUGGGACUGAGACACGGCCCAGACUCCUACGGGAGGCAGCAGUAGGGAAUCUUCCGCAAUGGACGAAAGUCUGACGGAGCAACGCCGCGUGAGUGAUGAAGGGUUUCGGCGCGUAAAGCUCUGUUGUUAGGGAAGAAACAGUACCGAACGAACUAGGUCGGUACCUUGACGGUACCUAACCAGAAAGCCACGGCUAACUACGUG
rnacentral:rRNA from 1 species